rnacentral:rRNA from 1 species
GUGGGGAAUCUUCCGCAAUGGACGAAAGUCUGACGGAGCGACGCCGCGUGAGUGAAGAAGGCCUUCGGGUCGUAAAGCUCUGUCAUCAGGGACGAACGGCCGGUGGAGUGGAAAGCCACCGGAUUGACGGUACCUGAGAAGGAAGCCACGGCUAACUACGUGCCAGCAGCCGCGGUAAUACGUAGGUGGCAAGCGUUGUCCUGAAUUAUUGGGCGUAAAGCGCGCGCAGGUGUGAUCUUAAGUCCAUUUUGAAAGUUCGGAGCUCAACUCCGUGAUGGGAUGGAAACUGGGAUUCUUGAGUACCGGAGAGGAAAGCGGAAUUCCCCGUGUAGCGGUGAAAUGCGUAGAUAUGGGGAGGAACACCAGUGGCGAAGGCGGCUUUCUGGACGGUGUCUGACACUGAGGCGCGAAAGCUAGGGGAGCGAACGGGAUUAGAAACCCCGGUAGUCC